rnacentral:rRNA from 1 species
GAAGGUGUGCUGUGAGGCAUGCUGGAGGUAUCAGAAGUGCGAAUGCUGACAUAAGUAACGAUAAAGCGGGUGAAAAGCCCGCUCGCCGGAAGACCAAGGGUUCCUGUCCAACGUUAAUCGGGGCAGGGUGAGUCGACCCCUAAGGCGAGGCCGAAAGGCGUAGUCGAUGGGAAACAGGUUAAUAUUCCUGUACUUGGUGUUACUGCGAAGGGGGGACGGAGAAGGCUAUGUUGGCCGGGCGACGGUUGUCCCGGUUUAAGCGUGUAGGCUGGUUUUCCAGGCAAAUCCGGAAAACUAAGGCUGAGGCGUGAUGACGAGGCACUACGGUGCUGAAGCAACAAAUGCCCUGCUUCCAGGAAAAGCCUCUAAGCAUCAGGUAACAUCAAAUCGUACCCCAAACCGACACAGGUGGUCAGGUAGAGAAUACCAAGGCGCUUGAGAGAACUCGGGUGAAGGAACUAGGCAAAAUGGUGCCGUAACUUCGGGAGAAGGCACGCUGAUAUGUAGGUGAAGCGACUUGCUCGUGGAGCUGAAAUCAGUCGAAGAUACCAGCUGGCUGCAACUGUUUAUUAAAAACACAGCACUGUGCAAACACGAAAGUGGACGUAUACGGUGUGACGCCUGCCCGGUGCCGGAAGGUUAAUUGAUGGGGUCAGCGCAAGCGAAGCUCUUGAUCGAAGCCCCGGUAAACGGCGGCCGUAACUAUAACGGUCCUAAGGUAGCGAAAUUCCUUGUCGGGUAAGUUCCGACCUGCACGAAUGGCGUAAUGAUGGCCAGGCUGUCUCCACCCGAGACUCAGUGAAAUUGAACUCGCUGUGAAGAUGCAGUGUACCCGCGGCAAGACGGAAAGACCCCGUGAACCUUUACUAUAGCUUGACACUGAACAUUGAGCCUUGAUGUGUAGGAUAGGUGGGAGGCUUUGAAGUGUGGACGCCAGUCUGCAUGGAGCCGACCUUGAAAUACCACCCUUUAAUGUUUGAUGUUCUAACGUUGACCCGUGAUCCGGGUUGCGGACAGUGUCUGGUGGGUAGUUUGACUGGGGCGGUCUCCUCCUAAAGAGUAACGGAGGAGCACGAAGGUUGGCUAAUCCUGGUCGGACAUCAGGAGGUUAGUGCAAUGGCAUAAGCCAGCUUGACUGCGAGCGUGACGGCGCGAGCAGGUGCGAAAGCAGGUCAUAGUGAUCCGGUGGUUCUGAAUGGAAGGGCCAUCGCUCAACGGAUAAAAGGUACUCCGGGGAUAACAGGCUGAUACCGCCCAAGAGUUCAUAUCGACGGCGGUGUUUGGCACCUCGAUGUCGGCUCAUCACAUCCUGGGGCUGAAGUAGGUCCCAAGGGUAUGGCUGUUCGCCAUUUAAAGUGGUACGCGAGCUGGGUUUAGAACGUCGUGAGACAGUUCGGUCCCUAUCUGCCGUGGGCGCUGGAGAACUGAGGGGGGCUGCUCCUAGUACGAGAGGACCGGAGUGGACGCAUCACUGGUGUUCGGGUUGUCAUGCCAAUGGCACUGCCCGGUAGCUAAAUGCGGAAGAGAUAAGUGCUGAAAGCAUCUAAGCACGAAACUUGCCCCGAGAUGAGUUCUCCCUGACUCCUUGAGAGUCCUGAAGGAACGUUGAAGACGACGACGUUGAUAGGCCGGGUGUGUAAGCGCAGCGAUGCGUUGAGCUAACCGGUACUAAUGAACCGUGAGG